UGAAGGGUGGAGGGGAGAAAAACAACCAAUGGGUCCUAGGCUUAACACUUGGGUGAUGAAAUAAUCUGUACAACAAACCCCCAUGACACAGGUUUUCCUAUGUAACA